rnacentral:lncRNA from 1 species
GUAAGAUCUGUCCCAGAGACAGUGCCCAGACAGAGAGCCUUCCCCGGACCUCAGGGGAGGAACUCCCCAAUCACACCUUCCCUUCUAUUCAUGAAAGCAUCUGCCAUGCCUCCAAACACCCAGGAGCAACCUCUAUACCCAGGUUAUCCUCAUAAAGAGACCCGCCCAUCACUCAUGCCUGUCUGUCAUGUCCCUAACAUGCCAUAGCACGCGGCUCAACCAGUACAGAGCCACAGCCAGUGAGAUCUGCCUGGUCCCUACUGAGGUUUAUGUCCUGCAGUCAUGGUUCCCUGCCUGAAGACAUAAAUGGGAAACAUCACCCUGCCCCAAAGCCCUCGGGUCUGACCAUGGCUGUCCGUUUUCCUCCUGCCUGCUGCUGUCCACACACAGAGGCUUCUGGCAUGCUGCACAUCUGCCAGACUGCAAGGUCAUUUCUGGGUGCCAUCUCAACGAUCUCUGCAUGCUCAACUCUGAGUUCAGUGCCCUAAUCCUUGGAGUUCAGGUUUCUCUGGUUAAUCUGGCCCUCAAUCUCUACCAGCAGUGAGGGUGCAACCUCUACUUCUAGUCAGCUUCUAUCUGUUUCUGCCUUUACCUACUGAAAGAACUAGCCCUUCAUGGGUUAUCUAAACAUAGGGUCUCCCCGACUCUGGCUUUGAGGUCCCUUUCAUACUCAAGACUACUGUCUUAGAUAGGGUUUUACGGCUGUGAACAGAUACCAUGGCCAAGGCAACUCAGGAGGACAACAUUUAAUUGGGGCUGGCUUACACUUUCCAAGGUUCUGUCCAUUAUCAUGGAGGAAAAACACGGCAGCAUCCAGGCAGGCAUGGUGCAGAAGCUGAGAGUUUUACAUUUUCAUCUGGAGGCUGCUAGCAGAAUAUACACUUCCAGGCAGCUAGGAGUAGGGUAGUAAAGUGCACACCCACAGUGACAUACCUACUCUAACAAGGAUACACGUCCUAAUAGUGCCACUUCCUGGGUCAAGCAUAUACUAACCAUCACAACUACCAGCUUGCAUCCCAUCCUCUGCUUCUUUAUGGCAUGGAGGGGGACCAUCAUGGCCAAACCCUGCGAUGCAGGAACACCUGUAGCCUGGAGAGAUCAUCUCCUUGAGCAAGCAAAGGGUUCACCACUCUGACCCUACUGGGACCAAGCUUUCUCUAGUGUUUCUUGGUCCUGACCCUUUAUGUGUCCAAACAGACUUCUUCUCCCUGGCUGUCUCCUCAAGCAGUAUCUAUAUCCUGAAAUUUACCAUAAAUAUUCAGUGUCUUAGUCUGUUUGUAUUGAAAUAAUGAAGUGAGACAGGCCUUAAGCAUCAGAGGUGUAUUUCUCACCGUUCUGGGGACUGAAAGUCUGAGGUUGGGUGCCAGCAUAUUUGGCUCUGGGGGGACACUCUUCCAGGUUGCACUUUUAUGGCACCACAUUCUCUCCCAAAAGGACACUGCCAUCGCUCAUGAGAGCUCCACCCUCAUGACCUUAUAAUGUUCCAAAGACUCAUCAUGUCCACAGUAGUGGAUGAUUUCAAAAUACUAACUUGGGGGUGGGGAACACAAGCAAGCAUUCAUUCCACACCCUAUGUGUUGGCUUUAACCCCCCACAAAUAGCUUCUUGGCCCCUCCUCACUCUGUUCUCUCUCAACUCUCAGAGGUCAUUUUUUGCCUGAUUUUCCUGAUGGACUUAGAGGAAGUAUGCUGAAAUUAAAAUGGGUAAUGGAAUAGCAGCCAGGUACCCAAGUUCAAGGCCAGCCUCGGCUUUCCCUGCACAGGGUAAUCUUGACUGGCGCUUAAUCUCCCCGGUCUUUGAUUUUCUUACCUAGAAAACAGGUGUAAUUAUAUAUGUAUGAGCUCAACUCAAAGCCCCCACAUGCACUGUAAAAUAAAGUUAGCUCCAUGCUCUUCCUGCCUCAACCUCCCAAGUGCUGGGAUUAUAGGCAUGUCUCUUAUUCUUCAUUUUAUAACAGAGAGACUGUCUAGAAAUAGAAAGAAUCAAAGAAUCAUGAAAUUCUUCAUCAACUAGGGAAAACUGAUCACCCAAACCCUUAUCCUUCCACAAUAACAAUAUUUAUAUUUGUUGAGCACUAUUUAAUUUUUUUAAAGAUUUUAUUUAUAUGAGUACACUGUAAGCUGUCUUCAGACACUCCAGAAGAGGGCAUCGGAUCCCUUUAGAGACGGUUGUGAGCCACCAUGUAGUUACUGGGAAUUGAACUCAGGACCUUUGGAAGAGCAGUCUGUGCUCUUAACCACUGAGCCAUCUCUCAGCCCCCUAUUUAAACUUUUUGAUGUCUUUUUUUUUUUAAAGACAAGACCUCACUAUGUGGCCCCAGACAAUGGUGCAGGCUUGGCUGGCCAGGAACUCACAAUCCUCCUGCCUGAGCUGUGGCUACAUGUAUGCACCACUACAUCAACUGUGCAGAUGGAAAAACUGGAAUGUGGAGAGGUUAGGUAAUUGGUCUAAAGAAACCACAAUGAAAGCAAUGAGGCCGGUAUUGAAACCCUUGCCUGAUAUAAUACAUCUACAUAAACAAAUACACAACUGUUCUAAAAUACAGACCCACCAAAUUGUCUUUCUUUCCUCCUUAAAUCUUGUUC